AGCGGAGGACAUAUCAUAAGCGGAGGAGCAUAUCAAUAAGCGGAGGAGCAUAUCAAUAAGCGGAGGAGCAUAUCAAUAAGCGGAGGAGCAUAUCAAUAAGCGGAGGAUUAUGUCUUUAGUGGGAUGAUCCUCUGAGUGACACAUAAACAAAUAAAUAAAAACUUUCAACAACGGAUCUCUUGGUUCUGGCAUCGAUGAAGAACGCAGCGAAAUGCGAUAAGUAAUGUGAAUUGCAGAAUUCAGUGAAUCAUCGAAUCUUUGAACGCACAUUGCGCCCGCCAGUAUUCUGGCGGGCAUGCCUGUUCGAGCGUCAUUUCAACCCUCAGGCCCCCAGUGCCUGGCGUUGGGGAUCGGCGUGGGCGGCGACGGCUCUCCGGAGCCCGAGCCAAUGCCUGCCGGCCCCGAAAUUCAGUGGCGGUCUCGCUGUAGUCCCCCUCUGCGUAGUAGCACAACUCGCAUUGGAGCUCGGCGGUGGCCAUGCCGUAAAACACCCCACUUCUGAAAGUUGACCUCGGAUCAGGUAGGAAUACCCGCUGAACUUAAGCAUAUCAAUAAGCGGAGGAAA
rnacentral:rRNA from 1 species